CAAGAGAACAUAUGUGUUUGUAACAAUUAAGAGAACAUGUGUUUGACACAAUCAAGAGAACAUAUGUGUUUGUAACAAUCAACAGCACGUAUGUGCUUGUAACAAUCAACAGAACAUGUGUUUGAUACAAUCAAGAGAACAUGUGUUUGUACCAUUCAAGAGAACAUAUGUGUUUGUAACAAUCAACAGAACAUAUGUGCUUGUAACAAUCAACAGA